ensembl:lncRNA
GCCCAGGUCACCUCCUAUAUAUCACACCAACUCAGCCCAGGUUACCUCCUAUAUAUCACACCAACUCAGCCCAGGUCACCUCCUAUAUAUCACACCAACUCAGCCCAGGUUACCUCCUAUAUAUCACACCAACUCAGCCCAGGUCACCUCCUAUAUAUCACACCAACUCAGCCCAGGUCACCUCCUAUAUAUCACACCAACUCAGCCCAGGUUACCUCCUAUAUAUCACACCAACUCAGCCCAGGUCACCUCCUAUAUAUCACAACAACUCAGCCCAGGUUUACUCCUAUAUAUCACACCGACUCAGCCCAGGUCACCUCCUAUAUAUCACACCAACUCAGCCCAGGUUUACUCCUAUAUAUCUCACCAACUUAGCCCAGGUUACCUCCUAUAUAUCACACCAACUCUGCCGAGGUCACCUCCUAUAUAUCACACCAACUUAUCCCAGGUCACCUCCUAUAUAUCACACCAACUCAGCCCAGGUUUACUCCUAUAUAUCUCACCAACUUAGCCCAGGUUACCUCCUAUAUAUCACAC